rnacentral:rRNA from 1 species
AUAGUCCCAUGGUUGGCUCCUUCAGGACCUUGUGGGAAACCAAGAGUCUUUGGGUUCUGGGGGGAAUAUGGUCGCAAGGCUGAAACUUAAAGGAAUUGACGGAAGGGCACACCAGGAGUGGAGCCUGCGGCUUAAUUUGACUCAACACGGGGAAACUCACUCGGUCAGGACAUAGUAAGGAUUGACAGGUUGACGGUCCUUUCUUGAUUCUAUGGGUGGUGGUGCAUGGUCGUUCUUAGUUCGUGGAGUGAUCUGUCUGGUUAAUUCCGCUAACGGACGAGACCUCUCCUUAUUAACUAGUGCGGCUCGCGGCCGAAAGGGUGAAGCGGUGGAGCUGGUUGGCGCUUCGGUGCUGGCUGCUUAGCCGGGGAACCUGGCGUGCGGGUUGCUUACUUCUUAGGGGUACAAUCUGCGUUUUAGCAGAGGGGAGCUAGAGGCAAUAACAGGUCUGUGAUGCCCUUAGAUGUUCGAGGCUGCACGCGCGCUACAAUGGUAUAAUCAACGAGCUCCUAGGUCGAAAGGCCUGGGGAAUCACAUGAAUUUAUAUCGUGCUGGGGAUAGAUGUUUGCAAUUAUUCGUCUUCAACGAGGAAUUCCUAGUAAGUGCACUUCAUCAGAGUGCGCUGAUUGCGUCCCUGCCCUUUGUACACACCGCCCGUCGCUCCUACCGAUUGAACGGUCCGGUGAAAUCUACGGAUACUGGAGCCUAAGGGGCAACCCUGAGCUUCGGCAGAAGUUGAGUAAACCUUACUGUUUAGAGGAAGGAGAAGUCGUAACAA